rnacentral:rRNA from 1 species
AAAUUGAAGAGUUUGAUCAUGGCUCAGAUUGAACGCUGGCGGCAGGCCUAACACAUGCAAGUCGAACGGUAACAGGAAGCAGCUUGCUGCUUCGCUGACGAGUGGCGGACGGGUGAGUAAUGUCUGGGAAACUGCCUGAUGGAGGGGGAUAACUACUGGAAACGGUAGCUAAUACCGCAUAAUGUCGCAAGACCAAAGAGGGGGACCUUCGGGCCUCUUGCCAUCGGAUGUGCCCAGAUGGGAUUAGCUUGUUGGUGGGGUAACGGCUCACCAAGGCGACGAUCCCUAGCUGGUCUGAGAGGAUGACCAGCCACACUGGAACUGAGACACGGUCCAGACUCCUACGGGAGGCAGCAGUGGGGAAUAUUGCACAAUGGGCGCAAGCCUGAUGCAGCCA